rnacentral:rRNA from 1 species
UACGUAGGGGGCAAGCGUUGUCCGGAAUCUUGGGUACGAAAGCGCGUGUAGGCGGUCCGGUAAGUCCGCUGUGAAAGUCGGGGGCUUAACCCUCGGAUGCCGGUGGAUACUGUCGGGCUUGAGUACGGAAGAGGCGAGUGGAAUUCCUGGUGUAGCGGUGAAAUGCGCAGAUAUCAGGAGGAACACCAAUUGCGAAGGCAGCUCGCUGGGACGGUACUGACACUGAGACGCGAAAGCGUGGGGAGCAAACAGG